UACAGAGGGUGCGAGCGUUGUUCGGAAUUACUGGGCGUAAAGCGCGCGCAGGCGGCCCUUUAAGUCCACUGGUCAAAAGCCGGGGCUCCACCCCGUGCUCGCCAGGGAUACUGGAGGGCUGGAGACACGUAGAGGCAAGCGGAAUUCCGGGUGUAGCGGUGGAAUGCGUAGAGAUCCGGAAGAACACCGGAGGCGAAGGCGGCUUGCUGGGCGUGAUCUGACGCUGAGGCGCGAAAGCGUGGGGAGCGAACAGG
rnacentral:rRNA from 1 species